AACGAACGCUGGCGGCAUGCCUAACACAUGCAAGUCGAACGAGACCUUCGGGUCUAGUGGCGCACGGGUGCGUAACGCGUGGGAACCUGCCCUUAGGUUCGGAAUAACUCCCCGAAAGGGGUGCUAAUACCGGAUAAUGUCUUCGGACCAAAGAUUUAUCGCCUUUGGAUGGGCCCGCGUUGGAUUAGCUUGUUGGUAGGGUAAAAGCCUACCAAGGCGACGAUCCAUAGCUGGUCUGAGAGGAUGAUCAGCCACACUGGGACUGAGACCCGGCCCAGACUCCUACGGGAGGCAGCAGUGGGGAAUAUUGGACAAUGGGCGAAAGCCUGAUCCAGCAAUGCCGCGUGAGUGAUGAAGGCCUUAGGGUUGUAAAGCUCUUUUACCCGGGAUGAUAAUGACAGUACCGGGAGAAUAAGCUCCGGCUAACUCCGUG
rnacentral:rRNA from 1 species